rnacentral:rRNA from 1 species
CCUACGGGAGGCAGCAGUGGGGAAUAUUGCACAAUGGGGGAAACCCUGAUGCAGCGACGCCGCGUGAGUGAAGAAGUAUUUCGGUAUGUACAGCUCUAUCAGCAGGGAAGAUAAUGACGGUACCUGACUAAGAAGCCCCGGCUAACUACGUGCCAGCAGCCUCCGUAAUAAGUAGGGGGCAAGCGUUAUCCGGAUUUACUGGGUGUAAAGGGAGCGUAGACGGUUAUGUAAGUCUGGAGUGAAAGCCCGGGGCCCAACCCCGGGACUGCUUUGGAAACUGUGUAACUGGAGUACAGGAGGGGCAGGCGGAAUUCCUGGUGUAGCGGUUAAAUGCGUAGAUAUCAGGAGGAACACCGGCGGCGAAGGCGGCCUGCUGGACUGAAACUGACGUUGAGGCUCGAAAGCGUGGGGAGCAAACAGGAUUAGAUACCCGAGUAGUC